UACGUAGGUGGCAAGCGUUGUCCGGAAUUAUUGGGCGUAAAGAGCGCGUAGGCGGUCCGAUAAGUCGGCUGUGAAAGUCAGGGGCUCAACCCUUGAAAGCCGGCCGAUACUGUCGGACUAGAGUCCGGAAGAGGCAAGUGGAAUUCCCGGUGUAGCGGUGAAAUGCGCAGAUAUCGGGAGGAACACCAAUGGCGAAGGCAGCUUCUUGGCUCAUUCCUGACGUUGAGGCACGAAAGCGUGGGGAGCAAACAGG
rnacentral:rRNA from 1 species